CAACCCUCAGGCCCCCAGUGCCUGGCGUUGGGGAUCGGCGUGGGCGGCGACGGCUCUCCGGAGCCCGAGCCAAUGCCUGCCGGCCCCGAAAUUCAGUGGCGGUCUCGCUGUAGUCCCCCUCUGCGUAGUAGCACAACUCGCAUUGGAGCUCGGCGGUGGCCAUGCCGUAAAACACCCCACUUCUGAA
rnacentral:misc_RNA from 1 species